rnacentral:lncRNA from 1 species
UUUGAGACAGAGAAGGGGAAGGCAUGGGUCCCAACUCCUCCUCCCCACAAAGAGGAAGGGCAAUUUCUCAGCCAAGGUGUGAGUGGAGGGCACGGACCCCCACCAUCCCUUCCACCUCUCAAGUGCCUCAGAGGAUCAGCAUUCUUCCCUGUACUCACCAAGAGACAGUAUCUACUCAGGGAUUAUCAGCCCAAGAAGAGAUACUGUGCUCCCUGCCCAAGCUGAAGAUACCUGCUUCCGGGAGAGAGGCCCAGACCACUGGUGCAGCACCUCUCUUGGGCAGUGGGUGGUAUAAGAAAUCAGGUGGAAGAAGCCGUGUGGGCCAGUAAAUGGCGUUCCUCUAUGGCCUCCGCUUCAAUUCCUGCCUCCAGGUUCCGCUUGGCUCCCCUUCGUGAUGGACAGUAAGGUGUAAGAUGAAAGAAACCCUCCCCCUCCCCCUCCCCCCAGUUGCUUUAGGUCGUGGUGUUUAUCACAACAGAAGAAAGCGAACUGAGACAGAGAAUUUGGUAUUUGGCAAGUUCUGGGCUGGAAAAAAAAAUGCAAACAGGGAAACCGGCAGAUUGAAGGAGACUUAGAGUGUCACCCGUCACACUCAGCACCCUCAGAUUCGGAGUGAAUCAGCACUCGGGAGACACCGAGGAACAGAACCAACCUGUGGCUGACGAUGUUAGGAUUUGUGACUGUCUGAAAACCCAUUAUCAUGUCUAAAAAUACAAGUCUUUAUUUUUAGACAUACACAUGGAGGCAUUUGCAGUAGAUGUCACAUGACUUGGUUGUUUCUGAGGGAUACAGAGGAAGGAAGACUCAUGAGAAGGAGAAAUGCAGAAAGGAGAAGACUGGCCCUGUGUCAAGCUCUACACCAGGACCAGGAUGCCUGAGGGUCUGUGAUAGCAUUCUGCAUGCUUGAAAUUAUAUGUAAUAAAGUGUUUCAAAUAUGCCGAGAACA